rnacentral:lncRNA from 1 species
AGACUUGGGUUUACCCAUACCACUCAUACGGACAAGCUUCGGAUUAGGAUUCUGAUCGGGUUACCUUCAGGUGCUCCUUAUUAAUAGUGACACGUGAGAGAUCUUACCUUUAUACCCGAAGGUAUACAAAAGGAACAACUCCCAUAUUGUCACUAGAUUCUGAGCAUUUCUCCCUUGCAGUAGCGACACAGUCAGCACAGGCUUUAGACGAAGUAGAAGAGAUAAAGUCCUAUCUUUCGAGUUACUAAGCAUCUCGAUCUAGUAAAAUAGCAAAUUAGAAACUUGGGGGAAAUCUUCCUGAAUAGCUAAAGCCAAAGAAAGACCAGUAAUGACAUACUCUACAACGAGUAGAAAAGAAAGAGCCUUCUCUCAUUACACGGAUUUAGCACUUUUCACCGGGCUAGGAGGUAUAGCUUGGAUUCGGAUUAUAAGAUGGAUAGACAUAGACACAGGCCUUACUUCUUACUCUUACCCGGGCCGGGGAAAAGAUGCUCUAUCUUUCCCGAUCGACAUUGUAAGAAAACUAGCACUUUAAUCAAUCUGAAAGUGGUGAGGCAUCAAAGGCAAAGGCCCAACCAACAAAGGCAUUAGUAUAAGAUUCAAGGUUUUCAGCCGGAUCGAGCUGCAUUCUAUUCUGGUUGGGAAAGCGGCAAGGGGUGUUGUCUGGUAUAGAACCAGAACAAGGGCGGAGGGAGUUGUUUUCCAGUAGCAGCUUUCUUUUUCCUGGCUGAGUAGUUUCUCAAAUCCCGAGAAGGGUGGUGGAUGGGAAUAGAUAAGUAAGCAUGCGAGUACAUUGUUUCAGACGCCGAAUACGUUAAAUCACCCACCGAAGACGCAUAAGAAUAAUCCGAUGAAUCAUACAUAGCAUAGGGAUGAAUCAUUCCUAAGAACCAGAGUUGCGGGCUGCUCUUUCCCAAUCCGAACCAGCGGAAGAGGCCUAUUCCGGUCCNNN